rnacentral:tRNA from 1 species
AAGGGAGACCUAAUUCAGGUAGGAGACGAAAAAAAAGUAGUCGCUACCAAGAAUCAAUCCCAAAAGGUCGGAGCGAGGCGAAAUUGGCUUUCAAACUAGGUUCUGGGUUCACACAAGACCUGAAUCAGGAACAAGGGCUAUUAGCUCAGGUGGUUGGAGCGCACCCCUGAUAAGGGUGAGGUCCCUGGUUCGAGUCCAGGAUGGCCCACCUGUACAGGUGGCAAAAAGAAAGAAAAGAAGCGAGGAAUCAGCACCUUAUCUUACUGACAUAGUAAGAGAGAAUGCUGGCUCUGAGUAAAGAGUCCAGAGGAACCUUGAAAACUGCAUAGAGCUAGGUGAAAAAGCCAAAAAAGAAGACCGCAA